AUCCAGCUGACGAGUCCGAAAUAAGACGAAACAUAAGUCCUGGAU
rfam:Schistosoma mansoni strain Puerto Rico chromosome 4, complete genome